CCCCCCCCCCCCCCCCCCCCCCCCCCCCCCCCCCCCCCCCCCCCCCCCCCCCCCCCGAGAAGAGGAGGAUGCCGAGGGGGGGAGGAUGCCGAGGGGAGGGGCAUCCCAGCCCCCGGGAAGGCUCGGGGAUGGGCCAUGGCCGUACAGCGGCCGCCCGCAGUCUGUGUGCCCGGCGCUGCCGGGUCAUGGCCAGCUCGGGGCUUUUCCGCAGCCGCCGGGUUUUGCUGGGGAAAAGGCCGAGCUCAGGGUCCCUGGGUGCCCGCGGGGAUAGCAGUCCCUGCCUGGCCUCAGCUGCGCUGCCCUUGUGCCUGUAUUGCUGUUCCCGGUGCCGUCACGGUGAUCCAUGUAUGGUGAGGAGGUUGCUCCAGGAAGUGUGGAUGGUUUUUGAAGGCUGUGGUUUCAAGGGGCUGAUUUUUCAUCCUGAAAAGGGGAUGUAGGAUGUCCAUGGUGCAGUGUGGCUCUGAGAUCUGUGACUCCUCUGCAUGCCCUGGUGUCACUCACAAUACUUCUGUCACAUCUCCUGAAGACUGUCACAAUAUUCCUACUUUUGCUGCUGCCCCCUCAUCAAGCAGUGGCCCUCCUUAUGGUCUUGGAGAUGCCAUAGAAGCAGAAGAUGAAAGACCAAAAAUGAGAUAGGUGUUUUGGGAGAAGUUCUUUGAUAUUUCUGAGCCCCAUACAACUGCAGAUCCUGAGGAGCAGCUGUGUCAGGGAUGCCCUGAGAUGAGGCUGACAGAAAUAAAGGCCAACAGCAACAGAGAGGAAUACCAAGAAGGAGCAAGAGUGAUAUUGGAAAUUCUCUUGCCCCUGCUAGGAAGGUCUGACUGUUGACUGAAAUGUUUUAUUCUGUAGUUUCUCGGUCUUUCUUUCUUCAGCCAACAACAAAAGUUAGCAUGGUGUCCUGGUUUUGGCUGGGAUAGAGUUAGUUUUCUGCCUGGCAGCUGGACAGCUAAUGAAGAGCUGAUGGAGUGAAUAAUAAGUGAUGAGAAAUAAACCCAAUUUUUUUGAAAAGCCCCUGAGUCAACAUACUGGAAGCUGUAGGUAGAUAUGUUGCCCAAAUGUCUUCACCCAGAUGCAGCUGCUUUGUCCCUUCCAGUCUAGUCAAGAUAGAUCAGAAAACAUCAAAUAUUCUAAUUUUGGGUUUAGCAUAAGGAUAAUAUUCCAACAUCAGUGUGUUAAGCUGUGCUUACCCUAAGUCAAGGAGUUUGCAGUUUCCUGUGCUCUGCUAGCGAGCAGGUGCACAAAGGAAGCUGGGAGGGAGCAGGGCCAGGAGAGGUGACCAGAAAUGGCCAAAGGGACAUUCUGUGCACUCGAUGUCAUGCUCACUUUAUAAAGGAUGGGAGCUGGCAGGAGCCAUGGAUUUGUUGCUAAGGGAUGGGCUGCACAUCAGUCAGUAGGUGCUGAGCAAUCCUAUUGUGUGUCAGUUGUUUCUCCUGGGUCGUACUUCUCUCUCUCUGGCUUUUUAAUAAUAAAAAUAAUGUUAAUAAUUUAUUUUGUUUCAAUUUUUAAACUGUUCUUGUAGUAGUCCGUGGGGUUUGCUUUUUUCCUUGGAUUCUUCUCCCACUGGGGAGUGGGAGGCAUGUGGUGUGCACUCACACACUCACAAUGGCUGUGUAGUACUUGGUUGCCAGCUGGGGUUAGACCAAGACACACACCUUAUUACCAUGUCUUUGGAGCUUUUGAGCCUAUAAUCUCAGUAAUUGGCUCAAUUUCCCACCUGCAGAUUGAAAAUAUUUUGAUUUCAGUUGCAUUCCCUGGUCAAGGAGACGCUUGAAAGAUCUUUUCUUUUUUCCUUUGGGGUUUAUUUUUUGGGGUUUUUUUUGUUUGUUUUUUGGUUUGGGGUUUUUUGGGAGGUUUUUUGUUUUUGUUUUUUGUUUGGUUUUUUUGUUUGUUUGGUUUUUGGUUGGUUGGUUGGUUUUUGGUUUUUGGGGUUUUUUUUUGUUGGUUGGUUUUUUCUGUUUGGUUGGUUGGUUGGGUUUUUUUGUGACCAUACAAGUCAAAAAGCCCAUUUGGGAAGGCACUUUGCAUUUAAUCCAAGAGGGACUCAGAAGUGGUUUUCUUCACCAUACGACUGCAAAACUCAGUUGCAGGAAGAAUAAUGUUCCUCACCACAUUGUCUGUGGGUUGGCUGAAUUAAGUGAAAUGGCAAAGCAGUUUCCAGUUGUGGAUAAAAGUGACCAUCAGGCUGUAUGUGUGCUAGAGACCAUGGAACAGGUUGGACAUGAGCCUGGGGACACAAAGUGAAGUUCAUCUCAUAUUAAAAUCCUUUGUGGCCUGAGGGAAAACAGCAAAUCUCCCUCUGGAGAGGCUAAGCCAGGAAUAUGCCACCACCAAUCAUGCUACUAUCUCCCUGUCUUGAUUCCAGACAAACCUCCUGUUAAACCUGCCAGAGCUGCCAAGCUGGCCAGAAAAGUGAGGGCCUGUCAGACACAGCCUCUUCCCCUUGGAGACCUCUCUGAUAUUCCCCAUCCUUGACUUGUCCACUCCACUCCCUGCCCCAGGAGCCAUGGCUGGGCAGGAGCUACCAGCAGUGCCUUUGGGAGCUGGGAGCCUCGAGGCUGAAGCCUUCCAGCAGGAGCCCCAGCUUCCAGAUGUACCCACUGCAUCUGUAAAUCUCCCCCAUAAGUGUUACUUGCUAAAUAGAGCAGUCUCAGCACUGCUGUGUUUCAUCCCAGCAUUUAUUAACCUUAUUUUUUGUGCUGUAUGAUGUGGCUGCUUCAGUGAGACCCUGUGGUCCCCCCACCUUGCCCUGCCUGGCCUGGCUGUCUCCAGGGCAGCUUGCUGAACUCUCCUGUGGUGCUGCUGACUCCUGGCCUCGUGUUAUAUGUCCUUUCUAGAGGAUGAUUUUUUUCAACAAACUCCCUGUGGAGGACAGCAGAGCUGCAGAGAUGAGCCCAGGUGUCAGCAGAGGGCCUGGGUGUCCCGAGGCAGGACAUGGAGCUGAUGCAGGCCAAAACUGCCCCAGGCUCACCCCACUCCAGUCAGCAGUGUGGUAUCAGGGCUACCAAACUGUGAAGUGUGGUAGCCCCUGUGUGCAUCCCUGUGGGGUGAGGAGGACAGGGCAGGGCAGUGUGAAUGGGAAGGGAAAACUUCCAGGUGUUCUGGAUGAGGUGUGGUAAAGCCAGGGCAGCCCAGCCUGCCUGCACCUCUGGUGCUGUAGGAGGGACCUUCACACUAAGCCUUGGGAUUUCCCACUGCUUUCCCAGGAUGUCUGAGCAGGAAUCAAAGCACAGAGGAUUUCCAGUGAAGAAGACACUGGGAAGAGUUGGACGUGUGUUCUCCAUUCUGUAAAAUCAGGAAAACCAGGGGCCAGAGUGAGAGGCGAGGAGUUUCCAAAGUCUGACAAUCCCUGGUGACUGCCCUCCCUGGCAUGCAGGAACCCAGUGCCUCUGGCACAGAUCACAGGGUGAAUGUCCUAGUCCUGGCCAGCAUGGGGUAAAUUUUUGCUGUAGCCAGGACAGGGCAUGGCUGGGACCUGGAGGUUAUUCUGAACCACCUCCCACCAUUUUGCAGGGGCAGGGGAAGAAGUCCCCUCAGGGUGACAGGCAUGGCAGUCUGCGCUCCAUGGGGUGCAUGGUUGGGUGUGAAUUGUCCCACUCCCUUGUACACUCCAUUAUUUAUACUCUUGCUGUUUAUUUUAUUUCAUUGCUGUUUCCAGUAUAUUGUUCUUGUCUCAACCCGUGAUCUUUUCCUUUUGUGCCUCCAGUUCUCCUCUUAAGCCUGCCAGAGAAGGGAGGGGAAAGGGAGAGGGGAGUAAGAAGCAGUGGUUUGCAGUGUUCCAGUGGGAAUUCCAUUCCCAAACCACAACAGUGACUGCAUGAACACUCUCCAUCUCAGCCCCUCAUGUUCUGCACCAGCCACCAAAGGAAGAGGCAGCACUGAGGCAUUUGCAGUACUCACCUUGCUACAGACAUGGAAAAUGUAUGAACAGGCUCAGAAGGGCUUCCUCAUGGCAAUGAAACUCCUGUCAGCUUCUCACACUGCCAUGGGCAAUUCCUCUGCAACACUCAGGAGUUUCCCAGACUUGUUCCAUCCAUACCUUCAAGUUAUUGGGACAUGGCAUUGUUCCUCUCCUCUGCCUAGCUUUGACGUGUCAGUUUUCUCCAUUCUGUGCUCUGAGAGAGAGUGCUCUGAGCACCUCUCUGACCAAACACUGCCUUUGGAGUGACUUUCCCUC
rnacentral:lncRNA from 1 species